rnacentral:lncRNA from 1 species
GCGAGAAAAUAUUCCCACCCUGUUUCAAUAACAAGAAAAUACAUCCGAAGGCAGGUAUAAAAAUGCGCAACAAGCAUAACAUGCAUGCGCUAGAAGUUUCUGUUUUGCAUAUACGCGCAUGACGUGCUGCGUAAGCUUGAUUGACUACUGACACUGCAGCUAACCCACGCCCCUCGCGCGUGAAUCGUUGGGUAUCAAUCGGUGGGUAUCUUGCUUAGACGCUGUGUUCAGUGCGCGUAUAAACCUUUGUU